GAAACAGGAAGAAAGAGUGAGAGAAAGUUGGAGCGAAAGAGUACAACAGGUGUCGCCACCACCCCGCCUGCCGGAGCCUCGUGAAGCUUUAGGUGUUUUCGCUCAAUAAACACACACAACGCCCGAUUCUGGAUUGGAACUGUGUCACAUUUCUAACAGUUUGGGGAUGAAUGUCACAUAAUCUUAAUUUCCAGAUCAUAUAAAUCUGAGGUUUUGUGCCUGUAUUAAUAAAUCACUAUUACUGUUGCUGAUACUACUACUACUACUACUACUACUAAAACUACUAGUAUUACUACCACCAUCACUACUACUACUACUACUACUACUACUACUACUGCUGCUGCUGCUGCUACUACUACUACUGCUACUUCGUAAUCCUGCUUUACCCUACCGGUGUUAACAUUUCUGUCGAGAGAAAAGUACGUCACGUGUUCACAUACCGCCUUACCAAAAAAAAAAAAAUUUCUAUCCCUACCCACCUAUCCACCCACUUACAAAAAAAAAUCAGAAAAAAAAAUGUCAUACAAGAAAAAUAAUAAAUACUGCUUCCCCCCACCCCCACCCCACUUCCUCAUGUUGAACGAUGAAAGACGAACAUUUACGAUUGUGUACGAACAUAUACGAUUGUGUACGGACAUAUACGAUUGUGUACGAACAUUUACGAUUGUGUACGGACAUAUACGAUUGUGUACGAACAUUCACCAGAAAUUGAAAACUGAAAACGAAAAAAAAAAAACUUUCAAAAGAAAUAUAUAUUUAAACACACACAUACACACACACACACACACACACACAAACACACACACACACACA
rnacentral:lncRNA from 1 species